CAAAAUAUUCGUUCUAAAACCUUUAUUUUUUCGAUUUUAUCCAAGUAUUACCACUUAUCUUUAAAGAAUGGACUUUCUUGUGUUCUUAGCCGUUAAAAAAGGGCUGCAAAUUCCUUCAAAAGAUGCUAUUCUGUGAAGCUUACUGAAUUACAACACGUGGUUGAAGCUUAAGUGUGAUGGUCUUUUCGCCUCGAUACCAGCGCCGUAACCUGUUCAGAAGCUGCUAAAAAUACUCUGGCGUGUCUGCUUCUAAGGUAUUUGGGCUUGUUCUUGUGUUGAUGUCGUUUAAAUCUUAAUAAUGUAUGAAAGGUAUAUCAUAUGUCUCAAUUUCCUGGGGUUUGUUAAAAGCAAGGUUUUAUAAAUUAUCAACCAACGUAGUUAGUGCCAAUGGUAACAAGCUUUUGUUAGUAAGGAUUCAACUAUCUCAAAAAACAAAGCGAAAUUCAACGUUUUCAGCGAAGGCCUUUUUUGGCAACGCCCAGAUUAUGCAUUGGUCAAUUCCAGCUGCGAUUACCCCUCCCUCCCUCCCCGGGACAGUGUGGGGCAUUUGUACGCUUACUUGUCCCCACGGCCAGGCACUUGCAGCUGCGUGUUCACUCGGGGGCCGGGCAUUUGUCAAUAUCAGGUUAUUACCCCCGGGCAUUUGUCGUUCACAGAGAAAAGACCGCGGCCACAGGUUUCCUUUGUUGUAUGCCAAAAUGGACGACUAAUAAAUAUGUUAAACAAAUUUUAUGUUAUAUUAUUGUUGAAUGUUGGUUUUCAAGUGUGAAUCAAUGUUUAAGAUUUUCCUUCAGUCCAUAUUAUAUAUAUUGUAUUUACAAUGAAAAACUUUCUGCAAUAAAACAGGGGUUUCAGAAUGAGCCUGCGGCUGGCAGAGUUCCACCAGCUACUUUUCGUUUGGUCACAGGAAAAAAAUUAUACAAAGGUACAAGCGAACAAACACGAUGUUUGUUAUGUUCCAACUGGAAUCCAAACAAAACGUCACUUAUUUUGGAAGAUCAAUAAGACCAACAUAGCUUGCUUUCUUAAUAAGUUGCUGUCGAAAAAGCGAUAAUAUAAACAUUCUUAAUUGUUUUCUUGUUGCCAUCUUGAAUUUUGUAGCAAAUGGUCAGCGGCUCUGAAUCUUCCUGAACAGGAAGAAGUAAGAUGACUCUGAUUGACUCUGACAGCGACUUAAGCAUUGGGGAAUCAGAAUUUGACAGUGAGCCAGAGAAUGAGUCCGAUUCAGAGCUACUUUGGUAAAUGUUUUUCAAGUGACUAUAUUCUUUGAUAGUGAAUUAAUUAUGAUAAAGUGAUGAAGUAUAACAUAAGUAUUAAACAUCAUUUGAUUAACCCAUUGAGUGGCGAUACACCCUGAUGCACCCUACUUUAGUAUUUUACUCUGUCUAACACCAGACGAUUUUACUCGUCAAGUGGAUAGCGCUGGCACUUAAUGGGUUAACUGGCCAUGUGUCUAGUUAACCCAUUGAGUGACAAUUUACCCUACUUUAGUAAUUAAUUUUUUUUACUCUGUCUAAUGCCAGACAAUUUUACUCGUCAAGUGGAGAGAGCUGGCGCUUAAUGGGUUAAUGAUUUUGGACUCAAAACACUGUUUAUGCUGCUGUAAAAAUUAAACUACUAGUAGCACAUUAAAGUACAUUGUCAUUUACAAGUAUAAAUGCAAAUGUCAUCUAAAUCUAACAUGUUAACUGUUCUACUUUGUCUUUUUACUUAUUCUAUAUUAUUUGAUUGUUAAUUUGCGGCGAAAAUUUUUUAAAGAGGCUGUCAAGUCCGUUCUGCUCAUGCACAUAUUUUGUUUACAUUUUUUGUGAUAAUUUAAUUAAAAUUCCGAUCUGUGGGUCUCCAAGUUAGCUCAUUACGCAUUCAGAAUAUAUCACGAAGGAGAAAUUGAACUACUGAAACAAAAAUUUUGCCCCAAUACAACAAAUUUUAAAUCAAAAAUGCUAAGAAGCACUUGUUACAGAAGUAUGGACAAAAUUUGAUUAAAAUUUGUACACAUUCAGCUCCAAAAUGACAAAUUAAAGAUUUUUCAGAAAAUGUUAAGAAACACAUUUUUUUACACCAACAAUUUUGUAACCUCACGCCGGAUAUAUCCGGCAUGGAGUGCAUGGAAUGCACACUGGUACAGAAUAUAUAGAGAAUAUAUAAAAUAAAAAAAUAUAUACAGAAUAAUAAUAAUAUAACAUAUAUAUUAGAAUAUAUACAGAAUCUAUAUUUCUCACAUUUAUUCUGUUUGACAAUUUUAUCAUUUUGUUUUUUUCAAAUUUUGAAAUUUUACGCUCUCUCUCUACUUCGGAUAAAAAGGAUUAUACUAGCCUAUAUUGGGUCGUUCCAGAAAAGAUCCAUACCCCCCCCCCUACGGAGGAAAUCGAAAAUAACCCCCUCCCCCCCUUCGGACAUCCUUGAAUGGUUCAUCCUCCCCCCCUCUCCGGACAUCAAAGCCCAAAAUUACCCCCCUCCCCUUCGGACAUCCACUAUUUCUAAUUUUUUCUAAAGGCUACCUUGCUGUUCGAAAACGUCACCGAAAAUUAGACUACGUUCACACUACGCGCACGCGAACUAAUGCGGGCAGAAUUUACGUGUGUUCAGACUAAGCCAUUACAGUUUGUUUACAAAUUGAAUUAGCACUCGUGUAAACCCAAAGUAUUUCAAAUAGACCCAAGAAAUUUAACUGAAAAGCAUUCGAGUUUACACGUUUGUGUUCACACAAAGCUAUCAAGCGCUCCGCCGUUUUCACCUCACUCCAUUUAGAAACCGUGCUCAAAUUGUUACGGCAAAAGUGACGUGAAAGUUUUCAAACGAUUUCGCUCCAGCGUAGAGUAAAUUAGCGAUGACUUAUUGUGACUUUUCUACGCUGUUUUCAAAUAGCUCCGGCAUGGAGGAACACUUGGCGGCUUCUUGUGACUUGCGAACACAAACACAUGGCAGGUUUUGUCGGAUAAUUUGCAGAAAGUAAAAUUCGGACUGAAAUUCAAUGUAACUUGCAAUUGAUUGACAAGCGUUGCUGCGUUUACUUACAUGUUAAUGCAUUUUUUAGUAUUACUGCAUUCCUUAACCUCGCCCUUAAUAUGAAAGCCAUUUCUAUUUUCUAGACACACACCUUUGACAUUUCUGGCAGUUGAACAAUCUCGUUCCCCGAGCAUGCCCGUUCGCAGGUUAAGGGUGAGCAUAGCUCUGGAGAAAUCGAAUUGAUUCAGGCCUGUGAUUGGCUAACGGCAGAUAGUACGUUGGAUUUCCAACGUGAGUUCUAUAUAAACAAAGUAUUUGGAAUUUCUCGUCGAAAAUUUGAUACUUUUUACACCGAAAUCGAUUGAAAACAACUAGAAAUUCUGGAGGAAAUAUGUGCGAAAGCUGUGGAUUGAUAGGGAUACAACUACCUGAAAAAUACAAGGAGAACUUCGACGUUUCGAGCGAAGGCGCUCCGACUUGUGCUGUUAAUGUUUGAAUACAUCGUACUUGACCUUUUAUAUACUGUCAUACCUAACACUACGUAUACCAUAAAUUCUGACAGAAGAGUUAAAUGUAAAUUUUAAAGCAUGAAAAUAUAUAAUACUUAUUAUUAUACAUUGUAGUUGGUAAAAGCAAUUUGAUUGGCUAAGAGCUUACAGUUAAAUCACGCAACCUACACAAAAUUCAGUUAUCUGCUAGCAGAUAACUCAGUUAUCUGCUAGCAGAUAACUGGAUUUUGUGUGAAAUUGAAUGAGUGUACAUUUCAAAUGAGUGUACAUUUCAAUUUUCAAAUGAAUGUACAUUUCAUAAUUGUAAUGUUUACUUUAACAAGUAAAUAUUUUAAUACGUUAGCAUCUUAACGAUAAUAUGUUUGUUUUAUAUUUGUAAUUAAUUUAACUGUUGGACUUCCGAAGACUUGUUUAUAGAAACGUUUUACUUCAACAGCUUUGCCAGAAAUCAUAUUGAAUAUAACGCUUACCGAGACCUUGAUAAUUUUGCAUAUCGCAAAAACCGAAUUCAAAUUGAAUUCGGUUUUUGCGAUAUGCAAAAUUAUCAAGGUCUCGGUAAGCGCUAUCAGCCUCGCCUUCGGUUCGGCUGAUAAUGCUUACCUCGACCUUGAUAAUUCUGCAUAUCACAAAAACCUCAUCCAAUAAUUGUUAAUUAUUGAGGAGAUUAUAUUUAUCAGCAAAGGUCAUGUACGAUGUAUACAAACACUAACAGCACAAGUCGUCAAGUCGAAGCGCCUUCGCUCGAAACGUCGAAGUUCUCCUUGUAUUUUUCAGGUAGCUGUAUCCCUAUCCAACCGAAGCUUUCGUACAUAUUUCCCCCAGAAUUUUUAGUUGUUUUCAAUUCGAUUUCAGUGUAAAAUGUAUCAAUUUUUCGACGCGAAAUUUCUAAAUACUUUAUUUAUAUUUUGCAACAUUGCCGAGCAUGCGUAGAACUCACGUUGGAAAUUCAACGUGAAUCAAUUCGAUUUCUCCAGAGCUAUGCCCACCCUUAACCUGCAAACGGGCAUGCUCGGGGAACGAGAUUGGCAGUUGAAUGGUUUAUAAUUUUAUUGUCCAAUUAGAUGCGUAGUUUUGAAUUUUAAAUCAUCUCAUUGGACAAUAAAAUUAGAAACCAUUCAACUGCCAUAACUGUCAAACUGAAACUUGCAGUUUUUCACACGCCGCUUGCAAAGAAUUGUAAUCGCGUGGUACACUGUCACUGACAAAGCGCCUAAAAAAACAGUCGUUUCGCAGUUUAUUGGGAACAAUAGUAAUUGGCUCACGCUGUGUUAGUGUUCCUGAACCGUCUUCCUGUUUGCAUAUGUUUAUAUUUCUGUUGACGGCUGAAGUUAAUAAAUAAAUUAUCCAUGUGCAUGUGUUCUUCCAUUCCAUGGCUCAAGGCAUGAGAAAGUCUGGCAGCAUGUUGCCAGAUCUCACAGGAAAUGUUUAAGAAAUCUCAAUUAAUCUCUCUUAAUUAAUCUCUCUUAAUUAAUCUCACAGGAAAUGUUUAAGAAAAAGCAAGAUAUCAAGAGUAAAGCUUGAGAAAUUUCAAAAAUCAGCAUUAAAGUAACAAACAUCACAAUUAGAGCAUAAAUAGAAAAAAUAUGACAUAAAAAUUUGUAUCAUGUGGCAGUGCUACGACUGUCUUAUCAUGAUUCAUGAUUAUUAGUCGAAAGUGAUCGUUUUGAUAAGAGAAAGAAAGUUUUGUGAGUUGGGGGCUCUUUAUGAAUUUUUAAAAAAUUUCCUGUGGUACCCUUUCUGUUGCACCCUUUGUCUGCUAUAUAUGUUGUCAGUUGAUAUCUGCAAAUAACUAGAUUAAUUUAAAAUCUCUCAUUGUUUAGGUGUUUUGUUCCAAGAGAACUUGGAUCAGUGAUCAGUCAUCAAAGUUGAUAUGACAGGGUGAUAUGACAGGAAAAGAAAGAUUAUUUUCUACGAAACACAGAAUCAUUUACAGUUGCUGUCUUGAAUCUUGUAAUUUGUAAAGAAGGUUAGUUUAUAAAACGCCUUCCAGGCAAUGUGGCAUGAAAAUUAUAUAUUCUGAACAGGGCUUCAAAUGCGCGGUAUCCCGGUAUCCUGGCGAUACCAGAUUUUAAAUUUGGAUGCUGGAAAAUCACAAGCACAGUAUCCCGAGGGAUACUAAAAAAAUUCUGUCCACAGCUGAUAUUUCUUGAUAAAAUACCAUCAAACAAUAAUAUAAACAAAGGCGACUGAAUUCAAUUUGACUGAGCAAGAAAGACACACUCAAAAAAGUGCCAAAGCCAAGCAAAGUAUGAAGAAACAAAAAUUUAAAAGGCUUGAAAAAAUCCUUUCCAUGGGUAAUGCUCGUGAACAAAAAGAUGUUUUGCAAAUGUGGGGUAGUAGAUUUUCUCGAUGGAUAUCAGAUUUCAAGUUGCUAUAGUAUCCUGUUGGAUACUGCUGAAAAAAUCAAAUUUGAAGCCCUGCUGAAUAAUAUGUUGUAUCCCUGCUGAAUAAUAUGUUUUAUCCCUUGGGGGAAUUAAUCCAAUCUAAGCCAAUAAGCGCAGAAGCCCUGUGUCCGUGAACAUUUUUUAUCUGUCGCACAUAAUUGUUUUGAUGAUAGAAAUGGUUAUAGACAAUGUUCAGAAAGUUUGGAUUAAUAGUUCCUGGCUUUUUUUAAUUUAAAAAAUUUCCUGUGGUCUCCCUUUGCUGAGCACAGGUUGCCACUUGCCUGUGGUUGGCCCUUUGCAAAAUGUUUUAAAACAUGUUUUUAUUACUUGAAAGUGAUUGUUUUGAUGAGAAAAUCUGUUUCAAUGUUAAACACAGAUUUUCAUAACAGGCUAAAAAACAGCAAAAAAGUAGGGCUAUAGCCUUCUUUUCGUCCAUUUUGACAAUUUUUUCUGCCAGAUAAUGCGAUGAAGUAUGGUUUUUGAACCAAACUAUAGUUUGACCUUUUUUAAUCUUGAAAUUGAUGGAAAUGUGAAAGAAAUUGAAUUAAUAUUCUGAGUAUCGAAGUUCAAUAGAGUCAUUUUUAUAAAGAAAUGUUGCAAUUAAGAGGAUAUUUAUAAUUAGAUAGCUCGUAUCCAAUGAUAUUUGUUUGCAAUUUCUCAAUAUUUUCGAUGCAAAUGGACAGAAGAUAUUGAUAUUGAAUUCACCACAGGAUACUCAAGUACACCUGAAAAUGAAAGUCUAAAAAAUGUUUUAACACCCUCUAGGGUGAUUGAACUUCGCUAUAUAUGAUGCCAUAUUGGUUGCAUUAACUUGCAAAGGCUUCCUUUAUUUAGCUCUUCCCAUCACUCCUUGCACGCUUACUUUUCCCUCCCUAAAAACUUCAUGUAAGCCUCUGCGGAGGAGAGAGGGGAAAAACGACAAAAAAAUAAGGCUAUAGCCUUUAGUUUUCAUCGAUUUUCACAACUUUUUUCAUUAAGGCCUGUGAUCCCCCUUUGCAUUUGACCCUAAGUUUGGAAUGGCUUGGGGCAGCUUUGGGAAAAUUUCCAGUUGUCCCUCCGGGUCCUUUGUUGAUCCUAGGGUUGCCAGGGGUUUCAGAAUGAUUUGAAGUAGGCGGUUGUACCAAAAAAGUAGCCGGCUGUGACUGAUAGUUAAAAAAUCGCGUGGGGAGGGGAGCGUGCCCUCGCAUUAAUUAAAAUUUAAAAAAUUUUCGCCGCAAAUUAACAAUCAAAUAAUAUAGAAUACGUAAAAUGACAAAGUACAACUAUUAACAUGUUAGAUUUAGAUGUCAUUUGCAUUUAGGGGCGGACCAUUUGAUUUUGAGGGGGGGGGGUGGAAGAUUCAGUCUGUGCAAGAAUUUUUUUCUGCCCAGGGAAUAAGACAGAUAUUUUUUUCCUGUAAAGUGCUGCGCAAGAUAUUUUUUCCCAAUAUAUUUCGCAGCAGGAUAUAUUUUUUGCCCCUCAUAAUAACUGCUUACAGUAACUGAAGGCUUUCAUAUAGCUAUCGUCAGAGACGUUAGCCAGGGUUUUCAGUCAGAGGAGGCCGAGCCUGAAUCCCAAGAGGGGCUAAGGAAUUUUCACUGUGCUUUAUUUUAUAUGGUUAUGUCUUAAUGUUCCCCACACUAAAGCGUGCAGGUUUACUUACAAAAAAUGUAUAACUGCACCAAAACCUAAAGCAUGCAGGGAUAGAGUAGAGUAGAAUGGGGGAGGUACAGUAUAUGAAUGAUCUGUAACCUUGGUGGGUUCGGGGGCAUGCUCCCCCUAGAAAAUUUUAAAAUUUGAACCUCGGAAAUGCUAUUUCCUGCAUUUUCAGCCAUGGAUUCAUGCAACAACUUUGCUGUACUAAGCCUAAGGAACACUCACUGUCCUUUAUUUUAAACAAGGGAAAAUCACAAAAUGAGCUUUGAUUAAUAUGUAAUAAAACAAGAUUUCAAUAAUGCGAUUUUUAACUGCCCUCCGAAACAACAAUGUUCCACCAAAUGUAGCUCUGUAGCUUUUCAAUCGUUCAAAGAAAUAGCUUGUUGGGGAUCGGGUUGCAUCCUCUUCAGAAAUAUUUUAAAAUCUAGACUCUUUAAACUGGAAUUUUCGCAUUAAAAUCAUCGUAUAUACAGUACGUUCAACUUGCAUCGUGUAGAUGGGCCUUUGAAGCUUUAAUAGUUUGGAACUACAAUCCGGGCCAAAACUUAUGUGGACAUUUAAUCCACUUUUGCAAAAAUCAUAACAAACACCUAAAACUUGAAUUUACUUGCACAUCCCCCACUCCCCCUCUUCAAUGUUGCAUGUCCGCCUUAACCACACUUCGUAUUUCAUGAAAAAUCCCAUUCAACAUUGACUUGGGGGAGCGGGGGGAUAAUUGUUUAGAAAAAACGCUAUUCGAGGCCAAUGUCUGUGGGUUGUCCACAACGUUUUGUCCAGGAUUGUCUGAAAAAUGAUGGGUAUUGAGAAGCGCUGUUUUAUCGCUUGCUCUUUAACAUUUGAUACGUCUGAUGUGACUAUAAUGCAUACCUAUGUAUUCUAAGUUUUUAAUUAUACAGUUUGAUCGCUGAUGACAUCACUAUUAGCAAUUACGUCACUUCUGGAUGUUGCAAAUAUAAGCUCAUUUGUGGGAAGCGUGCGUAAAACUGAACUAUACUGAAUAGGUGCGAGCAUAACUUUUUCGCAAUCUGAUACAUGAAAGGUAAACCGACAUUACAGUUCAGAUACGUAGCCAAGGAGCACAUUUAGGCUUUAAUAGGAGAGAAAUCGACGGUGCAUAAAAUUUUCAGUGUCGUAUCACGGAGAUUCAGUAUGAUUCCAGAACGUCUCAAGAAAUGCAGCAAUUACCUUAUUCUUUGGAAUAAAUUAUUGUAUUUUUGCACAUUUAGUGAUAUUAACGACUCUUAUAAUUUUGAACAGCCUAUAAUUUUAUACAUAGCCUGUAAUAUAUUGCGUGCCAAUGACAAGAACCUCGCAAUAUCAGACUGGAAAAGUUUCAGUACCUAAAAUGAAAUAAUCAUGUUAACCUUUUUAGCCAUUUGAAAGGCAAUAUAAUAUGACAUUGAAGAUUCUUAGCAUUUCCAAAGAUAAGUGUCUAUCAUAAACUGUUACUCAAAUUCGAUACAACUACAGCCAUUAAAUACAUACAGUGCACUUAUACCUGUAAAUAUUAUAUUACUAUUGUUUGUCAAACAAUGAAAUAUUGCAUUACACUUUUCAAUACUGUGCGCCGACUAGCACGGUCUACAGUAACUUCGGACUUGAAUUACAUACAAUUGGUGAAUUGAAACGUAACGAUUUCUUCUUACGGAACUACCUACAUAUUAAAGUUGUUAUUAGAAUGCUUUCAUAAUUUACGCAGUAAAGGAAUAAGAAGUUACCACGGUCUACAUAAUAAAGUAGCUCUUUGAAUAUAAUAGAUCAUAGCUCAUUAGUAUUCAUGAAAAUACGAUUUUUGUGUGUAGACCGUGGCGAAUUUUAAGGCAUAGCUGAUUUUAUAUGAUUUGCUGCGUACUGGUGCAAAACGUAAUUGGACGAGCCUUUUAAUCUAUACUUUUUAUCGAUUGCGCACUUAUAUACUUCUAAAAUCACUGCAAAAAAAAGUGUAGACCGUGAUUCGAGCUUCAGUUGAACAUUAUGCUACACAUCACGUCAUUCGAUCGGAAAGUAUAACAUAUCAACUUAACAAUUACAGCAAAGCCCUGUAACUUAAUAUAUUUCAGACGUAGUUCCUGUCUUAAAUCAUGUAUAGUUUUCUGUCAAGCAUUGUAUUCAGCAAGUUUUAGAUGCACCUUGAAAUUGAACUGUCAGAAGGAAGCUGUAAUAUACAGUAUAGUUAAAACAGACAAACGUACUAGCAUAUAUCGUAAGCAGCAAUACUUAGUGAAGUUAACGAAUUUUUAAUGCUUGUAUGAAAAAUGUCAUUUAGUUGUAUAAAUUUGAUUCUCAAGCACUUCAAGAAUGCAUAAACAAACUUGGAACUAGUACAAUGCAUAUUCCUGUCACUCUCGUCGACACAUAUUUAUUAAUUAUUGCUAAAAAUUAGGCUCAUGGGCGCGUGUUUUUUGCUUAGGAGAUCUGUGUCUUACCGGAUAAUUUUUUUUCAAAAAAUGGUCAAGAAUGGAUUAUUUAGAUGCAAAUAAGCGCAAUUUUACUUACAAAGCAUAUUUUUGGCCGUUUUGUAUCAUAUUAAAUACAAGAAUCGUGUAUUAUUUUCUGCAGUGAUUUUCAGACAAUCCGGGCCAAAACUUAUGUGGACAUUUAAUCCACUUUUGCAAAAAUCAUAACAAACACCUAAAACUUGAAUUUACUUGCACAUCCCCCACUCCCCCUCUUCAAUGUUGCAUGUCCGCCUUAACCACACUUCGUAUUUCAUGAAAAAUCCCAUUCAACAUUGACUUGGGGGAGCGGGGGGAUAAUUGUUUAGAAAAAACGCUAUUCGAGGCCAAUGUCUGUGGGUUGUCCACAACGUUUUGUCCAGGAUUGUAUGUUAUCAAAAAAUGCACACAGACUCAACCAUCCAAAAAUACUUUUUCUACCAUGCAUAUUAGAUAUGUAUAAAUAACUUAUAAACUUGUACAUAUCUUAAGCCCAGAUUUUCUCAGGGGGGGCAACAAUUUUGCCAGGGAACGCCACUGGCUAUCGUAUGUUAUAGACUCCAAAGGCACCAGAAUCCCUGUGAUGCUGUCCACUGUUCACCCAGUGUUCUUUUUAGCAAAUGUGCCUGCUCAAAAAUGCAAAAUCUUGUAAGUCUGUGGACACAAUACUGAAGUGAAGAAUGUCAGUAGAUUUACAUGUAGGAAUUUUUUUUUGAGCACUUUCUUUUGCAUGAUAUAUUUUUUCCUCGAUUGUAUGUUGCAUGAUUUUUUUUUCUUUCUCCUUGGAUUGCAUGAAUGUUUUUUCCGAAAUCUUUCAACCCUCCUCCCCCCCCCCCCUUAAAAAUCAAAUGGUCCGUCCCUUAUACUUGUAAGUGACAAUGUACUUUAAUGUGCUACUUGUAGUUUAAUUUUUACAGCUGCAUGAACAGAAUGACAAUGUACACUACAGUAAUAGUAAUUAUUUUAUGAGUCCGAAAUCAUUAAUCAAAUGAUGUUAUAUUUAUGUACGUAAUGAACUUCACUUCACCACUUCUUCUUUCUUUUGCUAUGUUUGGUACUAUGUAUUAUAAUUUAUCUUAUUGAUCUUCCAAAAUAAGUGAUGUUUUGCUUGAAUUCAGGGCUUGAAUUUUAUCACGGCAAUUACUGUAGAGGGAGAACAAAAUGCUUUGGAUCAUUGCGGCAAUGGCGGCAAUUUUUUGCCGUAUAGUAUUUUUAAACUCAUGUUCACUGCGCAUUACUAUUUUCAUACUUGAAUUCAGAUGUUGAUCAAAUCAUCCGUAAAUUACUAUUUCAGUCUCAGUUUUCUUCGAAAAAAAAAACACUAAAGAAAUAUGUAAACUGCCAUGUUUCUAGCUUGUCAGCAAUCCAAAGUCUGUACAAUAAAGUUAAAUUUUUAUUACAGCAAUUUGAAAAAAAAAAUGCCGUGGAAACUCACAAAAUUGCCGUAGACAGCUGUUACGUUCUACGGCAAUUUUUAACGCCAUUGCCGUCAAUUGAUUUCAGGGAAAUUCGAGGCCAACUUGAAUUCCAAUUGGAACAUAACAAACAUUGUGUUGGUUUGCUUGUACUUUUGUAUAUAAAUUUUUUCCUGUGACCUGACGAAAAGUAGCCGGCGGUAAAAGUUCAAGUAGCCAGCGGAACUCCGCCGUCUUAUUCUGAAACCCCUGGGUUGCUGUGUUCCCCUCCUUGCAUUUGACCCAAAUUUUUCGAAACGUGUUUUUACGAGUCGGAAGUGAUCGUUUUGAUUAGAGAAAUGUUUCUCAACAAUUUUCAGAAAGUUUGGUGUGAGUUGGGCCUCUUGAAUUUUUCCUGUGAUGCCAUUUGUUGACCGUAGGGUUGCCUAUGAUCCCCCUUUGCAUUUGACCCAAAGUUUUUGAAACAAGUUUUUCUAAGUCGAAGGUGAUUGUUUUGAUGAGAGAAAGAAAGUUUUGUGAGUUGGGGGAUCUUUAUGAAUUUUUAAAAAUUUCGUGUGGUACUCCCAUUUUUAAAAACAGAAAUAUGAAUUUUUCUGUUGCAUCCUUCGUCUGAUAUCAGUUAGAUAAGAUAUGUUGUCAGUUGAUAUGUGCAAAUAACUAGAUUAAUAUCUUUCAUUGUUUAGAUAUUUUGUUCCAAGAGAAUUUGGAUCAGUGAUCAGUCCUCAAUGUUGAACCGGAUUACAUGACAAAGAAAGAUUAGGAAAAGAAAGAUUAUUUUAUACCAAACAGAAUCAUCUACAGUUGCUGUCUUGAAUAAUUUAAAUAAGGUUAGUUUAUAAAAUGCCUUCCAGGCAAUGUGGCAUGAAAAUUUUAAAUUCUGAAUAAUAUGUUAUCCCUUGGGGAAUUCAUCCAAUCUAAGCCAAUAAAUGCAAAGCCCUAUGUCAGUGAGCAUUUUUUUAUCAGUUGAAAGUAAUUGUUUUGAUGAGAGAAAUAAAUGCUUAUCGACAAUUUUCAGAAAGUUUGGAAUAAUAGUUCCGGGCCCUUUUUAUUUAAAAAAUUCCUGUGCUCUCCCUUUGUUGAGCACAGAUUGCCACUUGCCUGUGGUUGCCCGUUUUCCAAAAUGUUUUAAAAGGUGUUUUUUAAAUGUGUCUCAAUGUUGACUUUUUGUCCAUUUUGACGUAAAGCAACAAAAAACAACAAAAAAGCAAGGCUAUUUUGAUUGACGAUUUUUCAUCGCUAGCUUUUGAAAAAAAGAAAAAGAAAUUAAAGAAAUCACUUCAACAGAAGAACAAAGUGAUUUAAGGUUACAGGACACCCUUUUGCCAGUUUUGCGGAAAAUCGCUACUGCACGCUCAGUAUCAGUCAAAUUUUCACCAAACGUUCUCCAGUGCAUGCAAAAUAUGGUAAAGUUGUAAAAUUAACAAACAAUAAAAUAAUGUAAGAAUUAUUUAGGAAAAUCUUAAAUCGCGGUACCAAUACGCUUUUGAGUUGUGCUCCUGCUGGUUUUAAGUUAUAUUUAUGAAAAUAUCAUUUUUAUACAGUAAAAUAGUUGUUCUAAAAAACUGUGUUUGGAAAUUUUUGUUUAUUUCGUCAUUCCGCUGAUAUGGCGAUUUCUUUGACGACUUGAAUAUAUUUCUGGAUUGUUUGAGUGAAUUGCUCUUUAUUUUUAAAAUAUCCAAAAUUAAAAAAAAGCCGAACACAAUUUUGAAACUGACGUCUUUAGCUAUGUCCUGUGAAAAUUUGAGAAAAAUUGGUUAAAACCCGCAGGAGCACAACUCGUUUGAAAAUCAGUAAUUACUGUAAACUUUUUCGGGAGAAAAUUGAAUUUGAAUAUUACAUUUCAAUGUUUUUCUUAUUCCAGCGAAAUGUAUUUUAUUAAAUAACUCUGCGAGUUUUCAACAUUUUUCGUUCAAACUAGGUCAGAUAGUAGAACUAGUCUAAUGCUUUCAUGGAAACCAAUAAAAAAUUUAAAGGUGUUCUGUAACCUUAAAACGAAAAACUAAAAAAAAAGAAAAAAAUUGAAGAAAUCACUUCAACGGAAGAACAAACUUUAAAACGACCAACUACAAUGCUUGAAACAGAUAAGACGAAAGACUGGGCAGAAACAGCAAAUAAGUAAGGUUAUUGCCUUAACUUUUCAUCGAUUUUAAUGACUUUUUUUGUAAAGGGGCAAAAAAACAGCAAAAAAGUAAUUAAAAAGGUCAAACAACAGCAAAAAGCGAUUUUUACGACAUUUUUCAUUUUCCGUAAAGAGACAAAAAGGAGAAAAAAGGUAAGGCUAUAUAUACCCUUUACUUUUCGUCCAUUUUUGGCAACUUUUUUCAUUUUUCAUAAGUGGGC